AUGCUUGUCUCAAAGAUUAAGCCAUGCAUGUCUAAGUCCAAGCUGUGUUCACACGGCGAGACCGCGGACGGCUCAUUAAAUCAGUCGUGGUCCAAAUGGGCCAGUGCAAAUCCUACUUGGAUAACUGUGGUAAUUCCAGAGCUAAUACAUGCAACUGAUAUCCCGAAGGCGGUGUUUGGGCUUGCUUGCCUUGCGCUGCGCUGCUCUGACGGAUGCUUUUAUUAGACCAAGCCGCUGAGGACUUGAGGGUUCGCGCUCUCUUGUCUGACUCGUGUGAUGGUGACUCUGGAUAACCAAAUUCUGACAAGCGCACGUACUUCUCUUCUGAGCGAGACGGCGCUGCCACUUUCGAGUGUCUGCCUUAUCAGCUAUCAACCGUUCGUUAUGCGCGACCGAUGGCUUUGACGGGUAACGGGGAAUCAGGGUUCGAUUCCGGAGAGGCAGCCUGAGAGACGGCUACCACGUCCAAGGACGGCAGCAGGCACGCAAAUUACCCAAUCCCAGCAAAUGGGGGAGGUAGUGACGAAAUCUAACGAUGCGGGCGCCCUUUCUGGGGCCCCGCAAUCGGAAUGGGCACUUUCUAAACAACCUGUUGAGAACCUAC
rnacentral:rRNA from 1 species